AGAACGAACGCUGGCGGCAGGCUUAACACAUGCAAGUCGAACGCACCGCAAGGUGAGUGGCGGACGGGUGAGUAACGCGUGGGAACGUAUCCUUAGGUACGGAAUAACUGCGGGAAACUGCAGCUAAUACCGUAUGAGCCCCGUAAGGGGGAAAGAUUUAUCGCCUUUGGAGCGGCCCGCGUCGGAUUAGCUAGUUGGUGGGGUAACGGCCUACCAAGGCUUCGAUCCGUAGCUGGUCUGAGAGGACGAUCAGCCACACUGGGACUGAGACACGGCCCAGACUCCUACGGGAGGCAGCAGUGGGGAAUCUUGCGCAAUGGGGGCAACCCUGACGCAGCCAUGCCGCGUGAAUGAUGAAGGCCUUAGGGUUGUAAAGUUCUUUUGCCCGUGACGAUGAUGACGGUAACGGGAGAAUAAGCUCCGGCUAACUUCGUGCCAGCAGCCGC
rnacentral:rRNA from 1 species